AGGUUAAGUUAACAAGGGCGCAUGGUGAAUGCCUUGGCACUAGGAGCCGAUGAAGGACGGGACUAACACCGAUAUGCUUCGGGGAGCUGUACGUAAGCUAUGAUCCGGAGAUUUCCGAAUGGGGCAACCCAGCAGUUUUAAUCAACUGUUACCACUAGAUGAAUUCAUAGUCUAGUUGGAGGUAAACGCUGUGAACUGAAACAUCUCAUUAGCAGCAGGAAUAUAAAGAAAUUUCGAUUCCCUAAGUAGCGGCGAGCGAACGGGGAACAGCCCAAACCAAAGUGCUUGCACUUUGGGGUUGUAGGACUGAACAUUUGAGUUACCAAAGAACUUGAUAGUCGAAGGAUUUGGGAAAAUCCGCCAUAGAUGGUGAUAGCCCAGUAGAUUAAAUCAAAUUCUCUCAGUUCAGGAUCCUGAGUACGGCGGAACACGUGAAAUUCCGUCGGAAUCCGGGAGGACCAUCUCCCAAGGCUAAAUACUACCUAGUGACCGAUAGUGAACCAGUACCGUGAGGGAAAGGUGAAAAGCACCCCGGGAGGGGAGUGAAAUAGUUCCUGAAACCAUGUGCCUACAAUAAGUCAGAGCGCGUUAAUGCGUGAUGGCGUGCCUUUUGUAGAAUGAACCGGCGAGUUAUGAUCCCGUGCAAGGUUAAGACUAAAAAGUCGGAGCCGUAGCGAAAGCGAGUCUGAAAUGGGCGAUUUUAGUACGAGGUUAUAGACCCGAAACCAGGUGACCUAUCCAUGUCCAGGUUGAAGGUGCGGUAAAACGCACUGGAGGACCGAACCCGUGUAAGUUGAAAAUUGCUGGGAUGAGGUGUGGAUAGCGGUGAAAUUCCAAACGAACUUGGAGAUAGCUGGUUCUCUCCGAAAUAGCUUUAGGGCUAGCCUCGGAAUUAGGAUCAUGGAGGUAGAGCACUAUUUGGACUAGGGGCCCGUCUUGGGUUACUGAAUUCAGAUAAACUCCGAAUGCCAUUGAUUCAUAUCCGGGAGUCAGACGAUGAGUGAUAAGAUCCACCGUCGAAAGGGGAACAGCCCAGACCAUCAGUUAAGGUCCCUAAAUGUAUGCUAAGUGGAAAAGGAUGUGGAGUUGCAUAGACAACUAGGAUGUUGGCUCAGAAGCAGCCACCAUUUAAAGAGUGCGUAAUAGCUCACUAGUCGAGUGAUCCUGCGCCGAAAAUGUACCGGGGCUAAGCAUACUACCGAAACCAUGGAUGCGACCAUUAGGUCGCGUGAUAGGAGAGCGUUCUAAGGGCGGUGAAGCAAGAUCGUGAGGACUUGUGGAGCGCUUAGAAGUGAGAAUGCCGGUAUGAGUAGCGAAAGAUAGGUGAGAAUCCUAUCCACCGAAUGACUAAGGUUUCCUGGGGAAGGCUCGUCCUCCCAGGGUUAGUCGGGACCUAAGUCGAGGCCGAGAGGCGUAGACGAUGGAUAACAGGUUGAGAUUCCUGUACUAGUUAAGUGCGUUUGAGCAAUGGAGGGACGCAGGAGGCUAAGAUGUGCAUUCUGUUGGAUUAGAAUGUCCAAGCAGUAAGUUUUGUGAAGAGUCAAAUGCUUUUCACUUUAAGGACAAGCUGUGAUGGGGAGCGAAAUUUAGUAGCGAAGCGUCUGAUGUCACACUGCCGAGAAAAGCUUCUAGUGAGUACUUAACUACCCGUACCGCAAACCGACACAGGUAGUCGAGGAGAGAAUCCUAAGGUGAGCGAGUGAACUCUCGUUAAGGAACUCGGCAAAAUGACCCCGUAACUUCGGGAGAAGGGGUGCUGAUCGCAAGAUCAGCCGCAGUGAAUAGGCCCAGGCGACUGUUUAUCAAAAACACAGGUCUCUGCAAAAUCGUAAGAUGACGUAUAGGGGCUGACGCCUGCCCGGUGCUGGAAGGUUAAAAGGAUGGGUUAGCUUUGGCGAAGCUCAGAAUUGAAGCCCCAGUAAACGGCGGCCGUAACUAUAACGGUCCUAAGGUAGCGAAAUUCCUUGUCGGGUAAGUUCCGACCCGCACGAAAGGCGUAACGAUCUGGGCACUGUCUCAACGAGAGACUCGGUGAAAUUAUAUUGUCCGUGAAGAUGCGGACUACCCGCGACAGGACGGAAAGACCCCAUGGAGCUUUACUGUAGCUUGAUAUUGAGUGUUUGUACAGCUUGUACAGGAUAGGUAGGAGCCAUAGAAACCGGAACGCUAGUUUCGGUGGAGGCGUUGGUGGGAUACUACCCUCGCUGUAUGACCACUCUAACCCGCACCACUAAUCGUGGUGGGAGACAGUGUCAGGUGGGCAGUUUGACUGGGGCGGUCGCCUCCUAAAAAGUAACGGAGGCGCCCAAAGGUUCCCUCAGAAUGGUUGGAAAUCAUUCGCAGAGUGUAAAGGCACAAGGGAGCUUGACUGCGAGACAGACAGGUCGAGCAGGGACGAAAGUCGGGCUUAGUGAUCCGGUGGUACCGUAUGGAAGGGCCAUCGCUCAACGGAUAAAAGCUACCCUGGGGAUAACAGGCUUAUCUCCCCCAAGAGUCCACAUCGACGGGGAGGUUUGGCACCUCGAUGUCGGCUCAUCGCAUCCUGGGGCUGUAGUCGGUCCCAAGGGUUGGGCUGUUCGCCCAUUAAAGCGGUACGCGAGCUGGGUUCAGAACGUCGUGAGACAGUUCGGUCCCUAUCCGUCGCGGGCGUAGGAAAUUUGAGAGGACCUGUCCUUAGUACGAGAGGACCGGGAUGGACAUACCUCUGGUGUACCAGUUGUGCCGCCAGGCGCAUCGCUGGGUAGCUACGUAUGGAUGUGAUAAACGCUGAAAGCAUCUAAGUGUGAAACACACCUCGAGAUGAGAUUUCCCAUUCCUUUAUGGAAGUAAGACCCCUGAAAGAUGAUCAGGUAGAUAGGUUAGAAGUGGCAGUGCGGUGACGCAUGAAGCGGACUAAUACUAAUCGGUCGAGGACUUAACCAAG
rnacentral:rRNA from 2 species